UGUCACUCAUUCUGCCUCCCCAUAAAUUUCACAGCCUGGGGUACACAGUUCUAUGGCAUAAAGAUAUAAAGCACUAGCCUGUGUCAAGGGAAAUCUGUCUGCUAAAAGUACCAUAAAGGAAGCUGGGCCUGCACAGGAGAGUAAAUAACAGGGAGCAAGCCAGGAGGCCCGUGAGCGACUUGGGAGGCUGAGCAUGGAGAUGGUCAGAGAAUAUAGUGUAGGAUGAGGGCAGAGAUGUGAGGGCAGCAAGGAUCUGUUUUCCUCAGGUGUCCUUAGAGGGAGGCCUAGAGGUAUAAAAGAACUGUGCAAAUCCAGACACUUAUAGCCCCAUCUCUCACAACCAGCUCUGCAUCCCAUUAGUCUGCUGAAGCCUCAACCUACUGGCUUCAUUCCUUCAAACCCCAUUUCUCAAAGAUUUAGGCAUUUCUCAAUUUUUUUUUUAUAUUUUUAAUUUUAUUUUGAGAGACAGAGAGAGAGAAGAGAGAAGAGCAGAGAGAGAGGGAGACAGAAUCCCAAGCAGGCUAUGCCCUGUCACCACAAAGCCCAACGCGGGGUUCAAUCUCAGGAACCAUAAGAUCAUGACCUGAGCCGAAAUCAAGAGUUGGAUGCUUAACCGACUGAGCCACCCAGGUACCCCUCAACUUCUUUUAUUUAACUUUGGUAUGUACCUGCCACACAUUAAUAAUGCUUUCAUAUUCCACUUCUGAGUCUUUAGCAUAUCCACCCUCCAUAUUUGAACUUUUCUGUAAGCUAGUAUUUGUUGAGUAUGCUACUGUGGGUAACUGACCACCAUCCAGAAGAGAAAGAACCUUCAGUUUUCACUCUAGGGAACCCUUGAACUCCACAAUACCAGCUUGUUAGCGUCUUCUGGGAUUAAAUUGAAAGCACCAAUGAUACGAAAGGGGGCAAACCCCCACUAAGUCCCCUGCUUCUGAGGCAUCAGGACUUCAUGACAAGUGCCACAAGCCUGGAGGCAUUCCAUGAUCUCUUCACCAAGCUAACAUUCCUGAGGAAGGAGGCAUCUGGCUUUUUGUUAAAGGUCUCAAUAGGAGCUUUGCCUAGUGGUCCCCAUGUCUGAUCUUUUUCCAGAAGGAAGCCGAACACAAAUAAACUACCAUUUGGAUUAUUUAGAUCUCAUAGGUCUACUGUUUGCCCUGGCCUCUAGGAGCUGUAUGCCUGUCUGGUGGGAUUUCUCCCCUAUAUUUGUAAGUUCUCUAAGGAUACAAGGACCAAUAGUGCUUAAUAAAGAUCUUUGGUCCAUUUCCUAUGCUUCUUCCUUGCAAAUGAGUAACACAUGACUUCAGGCCAUGAUGAGAAUAUUCAGGUUUUAUUUUGUGGUGUCCACCUAUGCAAAUUAUUAGCACUUAAGAGUGCUUAGGGGUGCUGAAGCUAGAAUACACCAAGGUGAAGAUGUGAUGAAUAAUGUAGACAGAUCACCAAAGCUUAGGGCCAGGACACCACAGAAGAGUUGAAGACAAACUGAGGGCAGGCCCAGAGGCAAUAGGAUAGAUCAUGAAGUCCAAACUAGGUUAAAUGGGACAAUCAGAUUCUAAAGGAAAAUCCUUUUUGAAUGAGGGAAAAAUAAGGUGAAGGAAACAAGAAAGCAUAUGUAAGAGGUUGAAUAGAUGGUGUUGCAACAUGAAAAAAACCUGAAUAUCAGUGUCCAUGCAGAUGUGGGUUUGAAUUCUUAUAUCUCUACAGGUCCUGUGGCCUCUUAAACUUCAAUUAACCACUUGGAGUUUUGAAGGUCUUAUAGAAUGAUAAUAUCUAUAUUGUAGAAUUAAUUAUAAGAAUUAGAGACUAUAUAUAUAUAUAUAUAUAUAUAUAUAUAUGUAUACACACACAUAUACAGAUAUAGUACUUAUAUCAUCUAGCAGGCAUCAAAUAAAUGAUGGCUAUAUUAAUACAAUUAUUUGGUUGUGAGCUUUCUGUGGGCAUUAAACAGCAAUAACAGUCUUAGCCAGGAGCCGAUGCCUGAAGUCUUAUCCAUUUAUUUAUUUACUUAAUUUUAAGUAGGACCCAUACCCAACAUAAGACUUGAACUCAUGACAUUAAGAAUCACAUGCUCUAGCAACUGAGCCAGCCAGGUGUCCCAAGUCAUUAUUUAUAACACUUACCUUGCUUCAGCCAACAAUGAGUCUUUAUUUAGUAUUUAAAUCUUUUAGUGUUUAUUCAUUGAACAGAAUAAGUAAACCCAUUUUAUAUAUAAAAGUCUAAGCUAACUGCCAAAAACAUAGUACUCCCCCAUGCAUGCACCAUUAAUGUUACCUGUUUUCAUGUGACUAUCCAUCUUUGUUUUAAAUUGCCAAUAUUUUUAAAGAUCUGUUACUAAAUACAAAUUUUCUUCAUUUCUUUGUAUGACACUGUAUUUGGCUGCCUUUUUUGUACUCCUAAAUUAUUUUUUUAUUGAAACAACCCAUUGUUCUGGCACCAUAUUAAUAUACCUUUUGGUCUAUUUAUACAUGUCACAUCUUGGGUUGACUUUUAUUCCAAGUUUCUUCCUGACAAAGACAAUGAUCACAGUGUGCAUACUUAAUAAAUGUUACAUAAUAAUAACCAUUAAAUGUUCCUUUAAAAUCUUAAGCAGCUUUUUAUCUUUAGCUUCUACUUUGAGAUAAUUAUAUACUUCCCCAAAACUAUUUAUAGCUCCCAUCAGGAAGAACAGCUGAAAAAAAAAAAAAAAAUGUGUUCCCAGUCCUGCCAAAACUAUGGUAAAAGUGAUUCAAACUCUGAAUUUCUUUUGCAAGUGUUCAAAUGGCAUUCAACAUAUGGAUGUCUAAUUCCAACAAUAGAAAACUUUGCCCAAACCAAAAUCUCCCUGAUGGAGGUGGUCACUGAAUACAUCUUGUCCAUAUCACCAUCAUCAUUCACUUACCAACAAACAGAUAUGCAAAAACGGUUACAGAAACAUACCUUUUACUUGCUGUUAUCAGUCCAUCUGUAUCUGUGCUCCUCAGAUGCACCAUGAGUCAUGUCCUCCUCCCUCCCUUUGAAGCCUGAGCCCCAGCAUAUUUAGUCAAGAUCACAAGAUGUAGUCACAGAUCGCCUUACAAAUAAAAGGAACAGAACAUGUCCUCCGUGACAUGACUCGCACAUCACAGGGUCAAAAACUUGUAUACGUAUGUGCACUACACUUAGGGUUGCCAGGUUUAGCAAAUAAAAAUUUAGCAGCCCUAUGCACUCUACAAUCAUCCCUCAAAGUAUCCUAGAUGCUGUAUCUGAAAACCCCCAGAUGCUUCUCCCCUCAGUCAAGAAAGGUUUAUAUAGUGGGCUGGUCACUGGAUUUGGAGACUGAAGACUGAGGUGCUGGUCUCAGCUCUUGCCACUUAGAACCUGUUUGGUUUUGGGUAAUUCCAUUAUGAUUUUUACCACCAAGAAGGUCCAUUUCCAGACUUUUGGAAACCACUACCCUUCGUGAGCCACCAUGUCAGGUGCUGGGGAAACAAUAAACAAGCACAGUGCUCUGUCCUCAGAGAGCUCAGUGUCUAGCAGGAAAGAAACAUAUGAACUCAAGGGGGAAAGUUGGGGCUGGAAGUCAAGACUGAGCUGCUCUCUUUUUUUGCUAUGGUUUUGGGUUUGGUUGUCACUGCAUCUUGGUACAAGCCUUUUGCCCUCAAGAGAUCAAAUAGAACCCAUUGCUUAGCAAUAGUAGCCUCCAAAGAGAUGAACAUGACAUUGUGAUGUCUUGCCAUCUAACGUUUGAAACUAUAAAUACCUUUGGGGAAGUCGUACAAGAAAACACCAUCUUUCUUCCUGUCAGAGAGAAGUGUCUUUCUGUGCCAAUUACAGCUAGCUGCCCUGUUCCUCAGAUGAGUGUCCUGCAAGAGGAGGUGAAGGCAGAAGGAAAUUCCCCAGCUACUGACAGUUUCCCAAGGAAUCCCCAGCAUCUGCGAAGGUAAAGUUCUUCCAGCAUAGGUCCAGAGGGGCAGAAGCGACAGCAAUACUUACCAGAGCAAGGUUGGGGUAUGUAGACCCAGCUUAGUCCCCUCCAAGGUUUAAAUUCACACUGAGAACAAACUGCUGGCCCACACACUGGGAAGCAGCCAUUCCUGGCCUCGUCAAUUGACCUGCCUGUGUUCGUUUGUCCAUGAGCUCAACUGCUUUUUAGUGGUAAAGUUUGGGUGAUGAACUAAAAACAAAACAAAACAAAAUGUAUUUCUUUAAAAUGUAAACAUUCUAUUAUUCUCUUUUCUACUAAUAAAAAUGCAGCUAUUCGAUUAAGGUAUCUUCCAGGACCACGUACCUGGCCUCUGCUUACUUGGUCACUGUUUUUUCCAGACCUUGCAACCUUCCUGUCCAGCCCUCCUGUCCAUAACAGUGAAAUCUCACGGACUCAAAGUGGAAGGAGCUCUACAGUUGGGAGCUAUCAGCUGGCUUUGAAUCCCAGCUGUACGUCCUAAUUGCUGUGGGAAUUUGGGCAAGUCACCUAGUUGCUCUAAAACUGUUUCUUCAUCUGUUUAUUAGGGUACAGUGUAUUUGCCAACCUCUAAUAGAGGUACUGUCACAGUGGUCAAUAAGAUAAAUUACACCAUUUAAAACAUCUUUUCAGGGGCGCCUGGGUGGCUCAGUCAAUUAAGCAUCCAACUUCAGUUCAGGUCAUGUUCUAGUUAGCUGUUCAUGAGUUUGAGCCUCCCGUAAGGCUCUGCGCUGACAGCUGGGAGCCUGGAGCCUGCUUCGGAUUCUGUGUCUCCCUCUCUCUCUCCCCCCGACCCUGCUGUGCUCUGUCUCUCUCUCAAAAAUAAACAUUGAAAAAAAAAAACACGUUUUCAUAAAUAUAUAACAAACUAUAGUAAUGGGCUUUUGGUACAGUAUCUUUUUCAGUACAAGAAUUCAGUUGAUUAAACAAUUCUAAUUACUAUGCCAAUCAUGCGUUAAUGGAUGUCUUAAAACACUGCCAUCUUAUGUGGGGCUGAAAGAGAUCUAGUGACACAACAGGAUCAUCAAAGCUCGCUCAGGGACUCCAGAGCUCUUGAUUUCAUCACCUUCACCUCUUCACCCCCAGUCUUACCUACUAUAGAUAAACCCUGGUACUUUAGACAAGUCAGCACAUAAUGGAACCUCAAGUGUGUACCAGGGUAAAAGCCUUUCCAAAAGGGAUUCCGGGAUCUAUGCAAUUUAAGGGAAGUGUCUGAGUGUCUAAGUGUCCCCAAAAUUUCUGUCACAGUCAGCAAGGUCCAUGAAGGUUCUCUGCCAUGAGAGAUGGUGUGCCCGAGGCUGCCAAGGGCCCAGUCAGCUUACCAGUCUCUUUUCUGAUGUAGCAAAAUAGAGUUAACAACUUAAAACCAAGAACAAACCAAUCUACGUUUUCUGUUAAUAUCCACAACUUGGUGUAUAGGUUUUGCUGCUAUUAUUAUCCAGUGCAUGCAGUCACCAUCCAGUAUUAGGUGUAAGCUCUUCUCAGUAAGGACUCAGUUCUGUUAUCAGAGAAUAAUAGGAGCAAGGUAGCGUAGAAAAAGAUGAACUUCGGCAUUAGGCCAAAGCUAUGAAUCCAAGCCAUGCCUCAAAAAAUUAAUCUCCUGGCAACAUAGUUUCAUCUGUUGGAUAAAGGAGAAAAUACUGUGAAUUCAAAUAGAUAUGGUGUAUUUUGAUAGAAGUGGCCAAAAAUGGCACUCAACAUUAUUACUAUUAACAUAAUUUUAUGCUAAGUGUUUAUAUGGCUAUAAGUGCUUUUAAAUUCUUUAAAAAAACAUCAUCACAAACGUGGAAGCUUACAUAAAAGGAAGUUGGCUUACAUAAUCUUCUGACCAAUUGUUAUUCCCUUUUGGGAAGUUUCAAAAUAGAUACAGUGAAAACCAGAGGCAAAUAUGGUGUCCCAUGAUCGUGAUUUGAAUAAAAUGCAGUCAGAAUGUGUACUCCACCCUCUGCAACAAGCUUAUCUUGGUCAUUUUACUAACCUCAACAUGUAUUAAAUUUUUUAGACUAGCAGUGUAGCAUCAUAGGAGGAUUUUAUUACAUCUUAAAUUUGGAUUUCACCAUUAUAAUGGUCUUUUGAUGUAUCAAUUUGUCUAGGCUACAGUCUCCAGUUAACCCAUCAAACACUAAGUGUUGUGAAGAUAUUUUGUAGAUGCGAUUAAAGCCCAUUAUUAACUGAGAGAUUAUCCUAGAUGAUCUGGGUGGGCCUGAUUCAAUCAGUUGAAGGGCCUUCAAAGCAGAAUGAGGCUUCUCUGAGGAAGAAAAAGUUCUACCUAUGGGCAACAGCUUCAGCUAGUACCUGUGAUUUCGUUUGCCCUCUCUGUUGGCCUACCUUUGGGAUUUCAGAUUUGUUCUAGCCAGCCCUACAAUCACAUAAGCCAAUUCUUAGAAUAAAUAUCUUAUACUAAUUUUGCUUCUUUGGUUAAAUGCUAACUGACAUAGCCAUACAAUUUUUGUUUUUUUUUCUUUUUGUAUUAAAUCUAAUUGACUGCACCUUGAUAUCUACAUUGCUCCUAAAGGUUCUCUUUAUUAUGUAUGAGUUGAGUGGGGUUCACCAUAGAUGUGAAAUGAUCUUUUCAUUUUCAUGGUAGAUAUGAAAAUGUCUUUUUGUGUGGGGGGUUUUUUUUAGAAUUUAUUUUUGAGAGAAAUAAAGUGCGUGGGUUUUCUGGGAAGGGCAGAGAGGGAGGGGUACAGAGGAUCGAAAGCGGGCUCCGAGCUCACAGCUGGGAGCCAGAAGCAGAGCUGGAACUCACAGUGAAGUCAUGACCUGAGCCAAAGUCAGCUGCUCAACCAACUAAGCCACCCAGUCACCCCAAAAAUGUGUUUAAUUCAAUGUGUUCCUCUACUCCACUGUAUCUUUCUACUUCAGAAAAAAAAAAAAAAACUGUCAAAUGUAGAUUCAAUGACAAUCUUCUUUUAUAACUUAAAAAGAAAUAUAUUUAGCUAUUUCAUGAGUGAAAAACAAGAGAAAAUAAAACCCUUAUGUCUAAUUGGCAAGAAGUUGAAACUCAUGUACAAAUAAUUGAUAUUUCUUAUCGAUUUAAAAGUGGAUCUUAGAAAGGCCUUAGGUUUUAGAAAUGGAAGUGCAGUCUGAAAUCAUUUUGUCAAAAUAAGAGCAGACAUUGUCAUUGCUUUGCCAAGUGACAAUCCAAUUUUAAAUAAUUCAGCAGUAAAAUUUUCAUAAUUCUCCUAGAGAGAAUUCCUUAAAACUGGUUCUUAAUAUCAGUGGUCUUUUGCCAAGUUUCAUUUCAUCUUUAACUUCUCUGAGAACUUCUAAAACUAGAAUAUAAUUAUAUACACACAGGCUUUGAGAGCUAAUUUGAAAAUAAAAACCCAAAGGAAGCAGGGUUUGAAACUCAACUCAGAUUUUAAUUUAACCGAAAGUAUUAUUCAUGACAAAUUUUUCUAAGAUAAGAUGAAGUAGUCCUUUUUUAAAAACUCCACUUUUAGAAAUGUUAAAUAUUUACUCAUCUUCUUACUGGGAGCUCUUUUCCUGGUUGUAAUAACAAUAUGCACAAAUAACCAUAGUUUUUAUUUUUGAAUUACAACCCAAAAUUCAAAGGUUUUUUUUUUUUUCAUAUAGGCCAGGGGCUUUGUAAAAUAAAUUAAUUUUAAUUACAAAGGACUAGUACCAAUAUAUAGCUAAGAAAUGUAUUACCAUUUACCUGAAAUAACAAACAUGUGCUUUGAUAUUUUUAUUAUUUAAAAACUGAGUUUUCAAAGAAGGCUGUUUAGCAGUACUAUGGUUGUGAAAAUAAAUUUGAAUUAAGCAGUCCUUUAAACUUAAAAUUCAUGGUAGAAUAAAAUGUCAAGCAGGUAAAAUUUUUUCUGUGAUAUAUAUAUAAAUAUUUUCAUGUAAACAAAAGAAAAGAUUAGGAACAAAUUAUCUUUGUCAGCAACCAAAAUACAUAUAUUAAAAAGGUGAUUUUAUUUUCUUCAUGCUUCCAUUGAACACGACUGGCAUAAGCAGAGCAAUAAUUAGAUGAGUCUUUACACUCCCCUCAUACUCUUCUGGAGAUUAUAUACAAUAAAGACAUCUCUCUAGAAGAAAAGAAAAUAUUAGAGGAACCAGACUCUUGAAAGUCAUGACUUUUAAAUAUUAAGUCACUCUCUUUCCUCUACCGUGAAACAAUAUGGUCUACCAGAAUUUGCCAGCUGAGAGAAGGUGUGGCUAACACUGGCGAGAUCCAGCACUAAUGCAUAUGGCAGAAAAUGAAGCACAAUGAUGCAAAGACUCUCCCCUCAAUGUGAAUUACCCAUACACUAGGAGAUAAUGGCUUCCAACGCAAACAUAAAACAGGCAAUAUUAAAAUGCAUAUAUUUUCAACAGGAGUGCUUCUUGAAGCACCAGCAUCAGAAUCAGGAACCCAGGGACGUGCAUCAGGAUCCAACUGAGCGCUCAAUAAAAUAAAAGCGUUCAUCCCUGGGCCCCACCCCCAGACGCUCUGGGGAACCCAAGCAUCUGUAGUGUUAACAAGCUCCCCUGGGAAUAGACACAAAUUUGUAUUAAAGUUUGAAUAUCCCUACUCCAGACUACUGAGGAUUUCUUUUGUCUCUUUCUCUUGACCACAAAUAUCUCAUUGUCUCUUUCACGCCUCUUUACUUAUUAGCCAGAAGGAAAAUGAAAACAAAAACAUUUCUGAUUAUGUCAGUCAGCGGCGAUAAUUAGUAGUGAUACUUUUUUUUCCCUCAAGGAAACACAGGGAAAUAGGCAACAUAGGAUUCUGCACCUAAAUUUUUCAAAGGUACACCAGAGUACUUUUUGUUUAAAGCUUUCAAAAUGUAUACGUAAUAAAAACAUUCAAAAUGAUUUGUAAACUGUCCUCUGAUCAAGAGUAUCCAGUGUGAAGAGAACCGCUGUUCAGUGUUGUUGCUGAGUUCUCACUAAGGCCCCACAUGGUCUUCUUUCCCAAACACCAAGCAUCUCAGCAAGCGCUCCGUGCUCCCACCAAAUGAUGCUCUGCCCACCAGGCAGCAUAAAAGUACCCAAGGGUGGCUCAUAAGAAAACAAGGACAAAGAAAGCAAAGCUCAGUUUCAACUCCUAUCACAAAAGGAGUCUUGAGACCUACUGCCAAUGUAAGAUGAAUACAGAUCAUGCUGACUUUCCUUAGAGAAAGCCAAAUAUA
rnacentral:lncRNA from 1 species